UCAAGCCACUGCUAAGUCACCGUUGAUGAAGCUUCAGCCACUGCCACGCCUGGUUGUCACCAGGGUUGCCACCGCCGCAUCUCACCACUAAAGAGAAGCCUUUCCUACGCUGUUGCCGAACCGGGCCAGAUUCACCGAUUAAUGCUACCGCCGCCACUGGCUUGCCAUUUCUGCUCGGCUGUGCCCUUAUUCGCUGUUCUAAUUGUUGAAAGGAAAUGUUGUCGAAGCUAUAGUUUCUCCGUUCCCCAUUCUCUUGUUUCUUUUCUGAGGGUGCUUGGAAUACAAAUCAUAACAUAUAGCUGCUGCAGAAUAAUGUGAAAAGAGGGUUUGUCGCGUUAAAAUCGUUGCGGGUUUAAUUCUUUGAGGUAGGGUUUUUCUUAAAAUCUAUUUUACAUUACAGAGUUGUUAUAAAUAGAUAUUAAUA